UUUUUUAGUACAUGCACAUCUAAGAAGAUUCCAUGAGAAUCAGGAUAGGUCUCCUGUAUAGCUAUGGGCUCUAUUGAUAUCCUAAGAGAGAAGUACAAGGAAAGGAGGGAAAGCAAGGAGGUUCAGUCCCGACACCAGGAACCUCAAUUCCACUUUCCACAAUAAUGCCAGAGAUGCCUGUCUUUAGCCUGUCACCAGUGUUGUUUCUUCAAGUGCUCAGUCUCGUGAAGAAAGGAGAAUGUCAAGAGAAUCCUAUAUUUUUUGCCUGCGAGGGAAAACAGAUUUGAGAUCAAUGGGAAUCCUCAAAGGUAAGUUGAGAGGGUCCCUUUAAGAGUAAUCAA